rnacentral:rRNA from 1 species
GACAGAGGCCCCGAGCGUUAGGCGGAAUCACUGGGCUUAAAGCGUGUGUAGGCGGGCCCGUAAGUGUCUUGUGAAAUCCCACGGCUCAACCGUGGAACUGCUGGGCAUACUGCGGGUCUUGGGCCAACUAGGGGCAGCCGGAACAAGCGGUGGAGCGGUGAAAUGCGUAGAGAUCGGGAGGAACACCAGAGGCGAAGGCGGCGACCUGGACAGGCACUGACACCCAACUACGAAAGCGUGGGGAGCAAACAGG